GGGCUGUGUCUGGUACCCGCUACCAUGCCCAAGCGGAGCUGCCAGUUUGCAGACGCAGCCCCGCUCCAACUCAAAGUCCACGUGUGAGCUGAGCCACGGUGUGUUCGCCGAGCGCUACUCACGCGAGGUCUUCGAAAGAACCAAGCAGCUCCUUUUCCAAGGGGCUCGGGCCUAUAGAGAUCACACAUAUCGAGCGAAGAUUGUUCCGUGAACCACCUACGGGAGUCACUGAAGUCUGGUGUGGUGAGAGCCCCUCAACCUGCGAGGGGACAGAUGUUGAUUGGACCUGAUGGCCGACUGACAUGGUGCCAAGCUCAGGCCUCAGAAGCCUUAGGCUGUCAGUGAGCCAGGUACAGCAACCCAAUUGGACAGCAGCCACAUGUUCAUCCCUCACUCUGCUUCCAACCAACAAAACAACCGUUGCAGGUGACAGAGUUUGUCACGAGUCCACGGCUGGAUAUUCUGCUCGGUGCCAGGCUUGGCUGAUCUUGGCAAGGCCUGUUCAAGCAUCUGUGCUUAGCUCACGGACCAGCUGGGGGCUGGCUGAUGUAGGAGAGCUUUGGCGUGCACAGCUUGGCUUCCCCUACAUGAUCUUUAGACUUCCAGCUCAAGCUUGCUCUUGUGGCAGUGGCCAAGAUCACGCAGAAGAACAACAGG
rnacentral:lncRNA from 1 species